AGUUGCUGCUACGUUCUCGCCCAGGAUUUAUUAGAGUGCUGUCUGCCGAGCCUACAGAAAAUGGAGAACGAGAAGAAAGAAAA